AACGAACGCUGGCGGCAUGCCUAACACAUGCAAGUCGAACGAGACCUUCGGGUCUAGUGGCGCACGGGUGCGUAACGCGUGGGAAUCUACCCUCAGGUUCGGAAUAACUCAGAGAAAUUUGAGCUAAUACCGGAUGAUGACGUAAGUCCAAAGAUUUAUCGCCUGAGGAUGAGCCCGCGUAGGAUUAGGUAGUUGGUGAGGUAAAGGCUCACCAAGCCGACGAUCCUUAGCUGGUCUGAGAGGAUGAUCAGCCACACUGGGACUGAGACACGGCCCAGACUCCUACGGGAGGCAGCAGUGGGGAAUAUUGGACAAUGGGCAAAAGCCUGAUCCAGCAAUGCCGCGUGAGUGAUGAAGGCCUUAGGGUUGUAAAGCUCUUUUACCCGGGAUGAUAAUGACAGUACCGGGAGAAUAAGCUCCGGCUAACUCCGUG
rnacentral:rRNA from 1 species